UAUGUUCAGGGGGUCACAUCCAGUCUGGACAGGGGGUCACAUCCAGUCUGGACAGCUGUAUUAUGUUCAGGGGGUCACAUCCAGUCUGGACAGGGGGUCACAUCCAGUCUGGACAGCUGUAUUAUGUUCAGGGGGUCACAUCCAGUCUGGACAGCUGUAUUAUGUUCAGGGGGUCACAUCCAGUCUGGACAGUUGUAUUAUGUUCAGGGGGUCACAUCCAGUCUGGACAGCUGUAUUAUGUUCAGGGGGUCACAUCCAGUCUGGACAGCUGUAUUAUGUUCAGGGGGUCACAUCCAGUCUGGAAAGCUGUAUUAUGUUCAGGGGGUCACAUCCAGUCUGGACAGCUGUAUUAUGUUCAGGGGGUCACAUCCAGUCUGGACAGGGGGUCACAUCCAGUCUGGACAGCUGUAUUAUGUUCAGGGGGUCACAUCCAGUCUGGACAGCUGUAUUAUGUUCAGGGGGUCACAUCCAGUCUGGACAGCUGUAUUAUGUUCAGGGGGUCACAUCCAGUCUGGACAGGGGGUCACAUCCAGUCUGGACAGCUGUAUUAUGUUCAGGGGGUCACAUCCAGUCUGGACAGCUGUAUUAUGUUCAGGGGGGUCACGUCCAGUCUGGACAGCUGUAUUAUGUUCAGGGGGGUCACAUCCAGUCUGGACAGCUGUAUUAUGUUCAGGGGGUCACGUCCAGUCUGGACAGCUGUAUUAUGUUCAGGGGGGUCACAUCCAGUCUGGACAGCUGUAUUAUGUUCAGGGGGUCACGUCCAGUCUGGACAGCUGUAUUAUGUUUAGGGGGUCACAUCCAGUCUGGACAGCUGUAUUAUGUUCAGGGGGUCACGUCCAGUCUGGACAGCUGUAUUAUGUUUAGGGAGUCACGUCCAGUCUAGACAGCUGUAUUAUGUUCAGGGGGUCACAUCCAGUCUGGACAGCUGUAUUAUGUUCAGGGGGUCACAUCCAGUCUGGACAGCUGUAUUAUGUUCAGGGGGUCACAUCCAGUCUGGACAGCUGUAUUAUGUUCAGGGGGUCACAUCCAGUCUGGAAAGCUGUAUUAUGUUCAGGGGGUCACGUCCAGUCUGGACAGCUGUAUUAUGUUCAGGGGGUCACAUCCAGUCUGGACAGCUGUAUUAUGUUCAGGGGGUCACAUCCAGUCUGGACAGCUGUAUUAUGUUCAGGGGGGUCACAUCCAGUCUGGACAGCUGUAUUAUGUUCAGGGGGUCACAUCCAGUCUGGACAGCUGUAUUAUGUUCAGGGGGUCACGUCCAGUCUGGACAGCUGUAUUAUGUUCAGGGGGGUCACGUCCAGUCUUGACAGCUGUAUUAUGUUCAGGGGGGUCACAUCCAGUCUGGACAGCUGUAUUAUGUUCAGGGGGUCACAUCCAGUCUGGACAGCUGUAUUAUGUUCAGGGGGUCACAUCCAGUCUGGACAGCUGUAUUAUGUUCAGGGGGUCACAUCCAGUCUGGACAGCUGUAUUAUGUUCAGGGGGUCACGUCCAGUCUGGACAGCUGUAUUAUGUUCAGGGGGUCACAUCCAGUCUGGACAGGGGGUCACAUCCAGUCUGGACAGCUGUAUUAUGUUCAGGGGGUCACGUCCAGUCUGGACAGCUGUAUUAUGUUUAGGGAGUCACGUCCAGUCUAGACAGCUGUAUUAUGUUCAGGGGGUCACAUCCAGUCUGGACAGCUGUAUUAUGUUCAGGGGGUCACAUCCAGUCUGGAAAGCUGUAUUAUGUUCAGGGGGUCACAUCCAGUCAGGACAGCUGUAUUAUGUUUAGGGGGUCACGUCCAGUCUGGACAGCUGUAUUAUGUUCAGUGGGUCACGUCCAGUCUGGACAGAUGUAUUAUGUUCAGGGGGUCACAUCCAGUCUGGACAGCUGUAUUAUGUUCAGGGGGUCACAUCCAGUCUGGACAGCUGUAUUAUGUUCAGGGGGUCACAUCCAGUCUGGACAGUUGUAUUAUGUUCAGGGGGUCACGUCCAGUCUGGACAGUUGUAUUAUGUUCAGGGGGUCACAUCCAGUCUGGACAGCUGUAUUAUGUUCAGGGGGUCACGUCCAGUCUGGACAGCUGUAUUAUGUUCAGUGGGUCACGUCCAGUCUGGACAGAUGUAUUAUGUUCAGGGGGUCACAUCCAGUCUGGACAGCUGUAUUAUGUUCAGGGGGUCACAUCCAGUCUGGACAGGGGGUCACAUCCAGUCUGGACAGCUGUAUUAUGUUCAGGGGGUCACAUCCAGUCUGGACAGCUGUAUUAUGUUU